rnacentral:rRNA from 1 species
UUAACACAUGCAAGUCGAGGGGCAGCAUUUCAGUUUGCUUGCAAACUGGAGAUGGCGACCGGCGCACGGGUGAGUAACACGUAUCCAACCUGCCGAUAACUCGGGGAUAGCCUUUCGAAAGAAAGAUUAAUACCCGAUGGUAUAAUCAGACCGCAUGGUCUUGUUAUUAAAGAAUUUCGGUUAUCGAUGGGGAUGCGUUCCAUUAGGCAGUUGGUGAGGUAACGGCUCACCAAACCUUCGAUGGAUAGGGGUUCUGAGAGGAAGGUCCCCCACAUUGGAACUGAGACACGGUCCAAACUCCUACGGGAGGCAGCAGUGAGGAAUAUUGGUCAAUGGGCGCAGGCCUGAACCAGCCAAGUAGCGUGAAGGAUGACUGCCCUAUGGGUUGUAAACUUCUUUUAUAUGGGAAUAAAGUUUUCCACGUGUGGAAUUUUGUAUGUACCAUAUGAAUAAGGAUCGGCUAACUCCGUGCCAGCAGCCGCGGUAAUACGGAGGAUCCGAGCGUUAUCCGGAUUUAUUGGGUUUAAAGGGAGCGUAGGUGGACAGUUAAGUCAGUUGUGAAAGUUUGCGGCUCAACCGUAAAAUUGCAGUUGAUACUGGCUGUCUUGAGUACAGUAGAGGUGGGCGGAAUUCGUGGUGUAGCGGUGAAAUGCUUAGAUAUCACGAAGAACUCCGAUUGCGAAGGCAGCUCACUGGACUGCAACUGACACUGAUGCUCGAAAGUGUGGGUAUCAAACAGGAUUAGAUACCCUGGUAGUCCACACAGUAAACGAUGAAUACUCGCUGUUUGCGAUAUACAGUAAGCGGCCAAGCGAAAGCAUUAAGUAUUCCACCUGGGGAGUACGCCGGCAACGGUGAAACUCAAAGGAAUUGACGGGGGCCCGCACAAGCGGAGGAACAUGUGGUUUAAUUCGAUGAUACGCGAGGAACCUUACCCGGGCUUAAAUUGCAUUUGAAUAUAUUGGAAACAGUAUAGCCGUAAGGCAAAUGUGAAGGUGCUGCAUGGUUGUCGUCAGCUCGUGCCGUGAGGUGUCGGCUUAAGUGCCAUAACGAGCGCAACCCUUAUCUUUAGUUACUAACAGGUCAUGCUGAGGACUCUAGAGAGACUGCCGUCGUAAGAUGUGAGGAAGGUGGGGAUGACGUCAAAUCAGCACGGCCCUUACGUCCGGGGCUACACACGUGUUACAAUGGGGGGUACAGAAGGCAGCUACCUGGUGACAGGAUGCUAAUCCCAAAAGCCUCUCUCAGUUCGGAUCGAAGUCUGCAACCCGACUUCGUGAAGCUGGAUUCGCUAGUAAUCGCGCAUCAGCCAUGGCGCGGUGAAUACGUUCCCGGGCCUUGUACACACCGCCCGUCAAGCCAUGAAAGCCGGGGGUACCUGAAGUACGUAACCGCAAGGAGCGUCCUAGGGUAAAACUGGUAAUUGGGGCUAAGUC